rnacentral:rRNA from 1 species
GGAGGAAGACUCCGUAGUCGCCCGCGGAUAGGACAAUUUAAAUCCUUUGAAGAUGCAAUCAGCGUCUGAAAAACAUAAUAGUUACAACUUUCAACAACGGAUCUCUUGGUUCUGGCAUCGAUGAAGAACGCAGCGAAAUGCGAUAAGUAGUGUGAAUUGCAGAAUUCAGUGAAUCAUCGAAUCUUUGAACGCACAUUGCGCCCCUUGGUAUUCCAUGGGGCAUGCCUGUUCGAGCGUCAUUUGUACCUUCAAGCUUUGCUUGGUGUUGGGUGUUUGUCUCGCCUUUGCGUGUAGACUCGCCUUAAAACAAUUGGCAGCCGGCGUAUUGAUUUCGGAGCGCAGUACAUCUCGCGCUUUGCACUCAUAACGACGACGUCCAAAAGUACAUUUUUACACUCUUGACCUCGGAUCAGGUAGGGAUACCCGCUGAACUUAAGCAUAUCAUAGGCC